rnacentral:lncRNA from 1 species
UGGAUCACAUGAGCUCAAAAACUAGGUCACUAUGUCAAAUAAUAGAAAAAACAACGUCAUACUCAAAACUGGGUCAUGUGGGAAGAGGUGAGCGAUUCAGGACCAUCAUGGUCCUCUUGUUUACCCAUGAUGACAUACAUAGUUCUACCUCUGUACAGUGACACUGCAUGCAACACUAAGCUAGGGUUGUAGGGUUUAGAGAAAAUUUUUGCUCUGCGAAUGCUGUUGUAGGAAGGUAUUUGCUCUGUGGAUGCUAUUGUAGGAAGGUAUUUGCUCUGCAGAUGCUAUUGUAGGAAGGUAUUUGCUCUGCGGAUGCUAUUGUAGGAAGGUAAUUUGCUCUGCAGAUGCUAUUGUAGGAAGGUAUUUGCUUGUGGAUUCUAUUGUAGGAAGGUGUUUGCUCUGUGGAUGGGUCCUUAACAGAGGUUUAACUGUGUACCUUUUUAUUUGUAUGUAUUAUAUUUGCUAAAUUAUAUGUAAAUAUGGAUAUAUUGGUGUACAGAAUUAGUGCUGUAAGUUCAUUUUUUGAAGUUAUUCGAUUUUUAUUGAGAAAUUUGCUGGUGCAUUUUCUAUAUACACUGUAUGUUCUAUAAUUAUACACUAUGUUUGUUUUAUACGAGAUCCUUAGUAAUUCAUCUUGCACAAUUGCCGUCUCUACCAAAGACUACUAUCAUAAUUCUAUGGGAUUACCAGCGCUUCUUUUCUAGUAAACAUUGAAAAUGUCUCAAAAUUUAAAUGCAAUGUAAAAAAUAUUUAUAUAUUUGGUAUAACCAGUUAAACUAAGGCAGUUGACUAAUUUGAAAUUAACAACAUUUGAAAAAAUCCUGUUUGAUAUCAGUGAAAGAUGUACUUCCUCUUGAUUGUGUUAUUGAACAGGAAGUUGAUGUGCAUAUUAUAUUUCUAUACUUUUAAUGGUUUAAAUGGACAUUUGUUAAAGUUAUUUACAUACUGUACCUAAAACCUGUACAGUCUAGGCGAGUGUUUAUACGGUACUGUAAACAUACUGUACCUGAAACCGGUACAAUCUAGAGGAGUGUUUAUACGGUACUGUAAACAUACUGUACCUGAAACCGGUACAAUCUUGGCGAGUGUUUAUACGGUACUGUAAACAUACUGUACCUGAAACCAGUACAAUCUAGGCGAGUGUUUAUACGGUACUGUAAACAUACUGUACCUGAAACCGGUACAAUCUAGGCGAGUGUUUAUACGGUACUGUAAACAUACUGUACCUGAAACCUGUACAAUCUAGGCGAGUGUUUAUACGGUACUGUAAACAUAAUGUACCUGAAACUGGUACAAUCUAGGCGAGUGUUUAUACGGUACUGUAAACAUACUGUACCUGAAACCGGUACAAUCUAGGCGAGUGUUUAUACGGUACUGUAAACAUACUGAACCUAAAACCUGUACAAUCUAGGCGAGUGUUUAUACAGUACUGUAAACAUAAGAAUGUUCCUGAUGGCUGUUGGUUGCAUUUUUUCCAUUGAUCAGCAUUUUUGCUAGAGUUAAACUUCAUAUAUGAACAAUAUCUACAUGCAGUUUAUGUAAACACUGAUAUAUACAUUAGGUCUAAAAUGGCACAGAAUUAAUUCAUGUAUAGCAAAACACAGUAUAUAUAUGUACUACCACUGAAAAAAGGUUUUAACAAUCAGUUGUUGUUGCAAGACAUUUAUGAAUGUAGCUUUUUUAUAUAUAUCUGUUUAAGUUAAGUAUAUCUAAUUAGGAUUUUCUACAUUUGAAAAGAUAUCUAAAUAUAGAAUACCUAAUUGAAAGAUAUGCAUUACAUAUCUCUUUAAUGUUUGCAUCUUGACAGUGAUAGUAAGGCAAUGAUUUUGUGACUAUAUAAGGUUAUACAAAAUAUACUGUUCUCAAAAUGUUGCUAGGGAAAGAGAGAUUUACAGUAUAGCUAUAAAGUACCAUUGUAGUUUGUAUCAUAUAAUGGUACGAAGUAAAAGCUACACCUUUGACUUAGUAGGUAUAAGUUACACCUGUGACUUAGUAGAUAUAAGUUACACCUUUGACUUAGUAGAUAUAAGUUACACCUUUGACUUAGUAGUUAAAGUUACACAUUUGACUUAGUAGAUAUAAGUUGCACAUUUGUAUGGAGAGGAAGCAAGAACACAAGUUUUGCACAGCUUCAUCAAUAUUGAUAAAACUUUUCACUUGUAAAAUCCCUUUAGUGCUGAAUUUUGAAUGGCAUAAGGUGCUGGUUACAUCUUUGUUUUAUAUUUUUGUUUAUUGUUUUAAGUUGUUCUUGUUAUUUUCCAUAUUAUGUUAAAUGGAUAAUGCUUCCUUAAUUGGGAAGAAAACACUGUACUGAGAUAUUUUGAGUGGCGUAUACCUUGUUUUGUUUUGUUUCGUUAAUUUUUCAUUGGGUGGGAUGGAGGGGGGACGGUGUUACAGGGAGUGAAAAAAGAAUUUAUUCUGUUUUGUUUUAAUGAAAACUGAACAAAACCAUUGUUAAUGACAUAGAAAAUACUGUUAAUUUGAAAAACAAAAUCUUUUGUUCCAUGUCUAGUGCUUUGGAUAUUGUAUCAUAAAUCACAAAAAAAUAUUUUGUAAAACAGUUAAGUUGCAGAUAUUAUAUUAUACAGGGCUGUAUGUACCCCUAUCUGCAAAUUUAUCUUGAUAUUAUUUUAUUUCAUGAAACUUAAAAGAAUGGUUGUCAAAUAGUAUUUCUUUGAACACUUGUGAUAUUUCCUUUAUUAUCUCCCUUUCAGUGUUCUUCAUUGUCAUGCAAAUUUACAUGUUUGUCCAGGGUCGAUUGCUUGCUCUUUUUGCAUUUAAGUGUAACUUGAUGCAAACUUGGGAAAAAUAUUGUUUUAUGGAAGCUGUAAAUACUUGAAGUAAAGUUUGUUAUUUUGUGCCAUAGUCAUUUGUUAUGCUGAUUUUUCUGAUUUCAAGAUAGGAGAGUUAAGGAAGGAUGUUGGGAGAGAUCUGCUGACACUAAGUCACAUGAUGUGUAAUUUGAAGAAGGGUGAGGGAUUCAAAGUGACCAGGUUAAUAUUAGUAUAAGUUAGACUGUGUCACUAUUAUUUAAAUUACAUUUUAGUGAAGCAUAACUAUAUAGGACAUUGAUAUUUGAGUAGUUAAGCUUAAUUUGAUUUUAAGUGAUUAUUUUUUAAGUUUUAACAUAAUUGCAUUGAGCAUUCAUGGCCUAGUGGUUAUGAUCAUUGCCUUUGAACCGUUUCCCUGUAGUCACUGUGUGUUUUAAACCCUCUUCGGGUGUAGAAUUAUUUUCAUGUAAGAAAAGCUACCCAGCUGACUUGUGAAAACUUGAUUGUUCUACCAAAGGUCCUACCCAUACCUAAAUAAUACACAGAGGAACACCUGUAGUCUUUUACCACCUGCAAAACUGGAAAGUUGCAAUUUGAUCUAAAUUUUGUCAGUAAGAAAAUCUUGGAUUACACUGAAAAGUAUCUCCAGUUACGGUAUAAUAUUAUACCAGAUUUAUGUACCAGAUUUAGGUUAUUCUGUUAAUUUAAAUAUGCUGUUAAAAGUAGGAUUUUUUUUCAUGGUUUACCAGUUGUAAAUAGAUUUAUGAGGGUGAGGGUAUUAUCAGAAAAAUAGAUAUAAAAGAUAGGAUAUUUGAUGUAAGUUACAUAGGAACUAAUUAAUUCAUUCUUUGUUGUAAGAAAGUUUUAGCUGAAUUUGAUAUUCAUUAAGUCACUGAUAGCUAAACUUUAAUGACAAUCAUGAAUACAGUCAUGAUUAAGUAAUCUAGCAUGAUUUUUAGACAUACUUUUUCCCUUCGGGUAAGUUAAAAAGCUCAUGACUUUCUGUAACAGUUAAAGAAUGCCAGUAGCAUAAAGAGAACAAUUAUGUAAGAAAAUGAAAAUUGCAGGUUUUCAUGGGUCCUCUACAAAAGGAGUUUGUAUCCAGUUAUUUGCAGUAAUGUGUAAAUACUAAUUCUGUGUAAGCAGAAUGAUGUAAUCAGGUAUUGUAUUGAAUAUUAGAUGUCUAGAAUACAGGGUUGGCUUUCUACAAGUAAAGGAGCAUGCAUCCUGGUAAACAUCAAAUGUGUAUAAAUUAUAUUAAAUUGUUGAUAUACUAUAAAUUUUGAUACAGGACAGUGCUAAUUCUUUCUGUUUUUUGGACUGUACAAGUUUUUAGCUCACCAGAGGACAAAGUGCUCUUGGUGAGCUUUUAAGAACAUUGUGUCAGUUGUCACAAAGAAACAGCUGACAAACCUCCAGGUCAGUUUUUACAAAACUUUACAGGAAUACUUCUUGUAUGGUUCCCUUUCAGAUUCCUUCAAAUCUAGGCAAAAACCUUGUUGCCAUGGGAACCAAAUGAAAAAUCUUCUGGAAACUGCAUGCUAAUCAAAUUUCAUGGAAAUGUUCUUUUGGUGACACUUAACCAAAUUCCCUCAAAUCAUUCUAGUUUUCCCUAAAAGGAUAUAUAGAAAACCUAGAGAAAAUUCUCUCUUCUGAAACUGCUGGCUCGAUUACAAUUCUAACACAAUCUGAUUCAUUUUCCUAUUAAACAAAGAAAGCUGAAACAGUGAAUUAUUAUACAACAAUUAACUGUCUGAUGUCAAAAUUACUAUGUCAUAGCGUCAAACGACAUAUAGCGGUGCGCUGGAAAAGAAACCAAUUGAAAACGGGCAAAUAUUUAAUGAAUGCCAUCAAGGAUGUGCUUUAAAGUCCUUGGUAACUUGUUAGACUCGAAAUAAUAUAUCUCAUUUAGUGAUUUGCUCUUGAAUAAAAUGGUUUGUCAUUCAGAUGCGUAUUAUUAUAUCACUUGGGCUGCGCCCUCGUGAUAUAAUUCCAUCACAUCUGCACUCCAAAAUGAUUUAUUCAGCAACAAAUCAUUAAAUGAGAUAUAUUAUUUCUUAAAUAACUUCACAGCAAAUGUUCCUUGAGUGACCCUCCACCAAACUCCUUCAUCUUAAUUGUGAUUUUUUUGAAAAUUUGUCUGCCAGGUGCUAGGUUAUUUUGUCUAUUUAGGUAUAUACAAAGCUUCUAAAUUCUCAUAAAACGCUGGCUCGAUUUUGAAAUAAUUUCACAGCAAUGUUUCUUUUGUGAAACAAAUUGCUGACAAUUUACCAAUAUUGUUCAGUCCAGCUGAGAAUUUCGGGGGUGUGAUCUGGGGCUAUCAUAGCCCUCUUGUUUACAAGUGUACAAAUAUCUUAAUUCCUAGAACUCACUUAGUAGUCCCUUUCCUCUUGUUUUUACCAUUAAUAACAAACAAAAACACUCUCCAAAUAUCAAGAGUUUAGACAGUGGUUAUGUACUGUCAGUAGCUAAGUCUAUACUUCAGUUGGAUUGACCAUUGUUAAACAAGAGAGAAAGAGUUGAUGCAAGUCUGGAGGCAUUCCCCUAUAAAACAGUUCUGUUUUACAGAAAUUUAAGCCCAGUAGAAACACAAGUUAUUUAUUGCUGUUAAUAUAUGUUUAAAGAUUUUUCACUUGUUGCUGUAACUUUUAUUUAUCUGCAUGUACAAAAAUGCUUCCAUCAUCAUUGUCAGUAUAGCAUACAGAACAUUAUUGUACAUAUUUUGUUAAUUCAUUUACUGUUAAGAAUCUCUGUUGGAAAUUUUAUUCAUGUAUUUUUGUUCACUGCUUGCAGAGUUAUUUUGGAGUCGUUGAAGUUUUGUGUAACAUAUAACAAAAUGUUGAUCAUUAGCACAACAUUUUAUUUAUUGCUUUUUAACAAAAUUAUAUGAUUUAUUUUAAAAAUGACCAGUAUUUAUGUUAUCUUAUGAAUAUUCAUUUACAUAAUUAUUAUACCUUUGACUAAAUAUAACCUCAAAAUGUGAUGCACAAAGUUGUCAGUAUAUCAAUGGACCUAGCAUGGUAUUCAAAUAUUUUAAGAAAUAACAUAACUGAAGUGAGUUUUGAGUUUUGAUCAAUUUAGACUAGCACUCUUCAUUGGCUGCAGUGACAUCACUGCAUGUAAUAUUAAAAAUAAUGAUUUUUGCCAUAUGAGAAAUAUAUUUAUUUAAUCACAUGUAUUUAGUUGGAAUUUGGUGAAGGAGUGCAAGAACACUAUAGAAGGUCUCUGUGCUAUUAUGCACAAGGUCAGGUCAGCAGAUUCUGUGUAUUAAAUAUAUAUCGUUUUGUCUUUUUUGGUAUGUACUAUUUAAAUUUUUUUUUCUAUGUGUUAUCACAAUGGUGGUUUUAUGUGUAAUAAAUGUUUUUUAUAAAAUAUAACCAAUCAGAGAUGAUUAUUUAAGAAUAAUUAUGUCCUUGUAUUAUUUAAAUAAAUCACAUGAUGAAUAAAAGUAAAACUAU